GUAAGCUGCAGUUUGCUGCGGCUUUUCCCCCUGGCAGUUAGUCCUGCAAUCUGAAUCCAGGAGAUGCAGCUCUGAACCCAGUAUGUCAGAAGAAUGAAGAUGUUGUCAACUAGUUGCUGUUUGGGACAUUUAAGUAAAGUCAACCGCCAUCUACCUUGGACUGCAAGAUUCAUUUCUUCCGAAGGAUUCUCAUAGCUUUCCAGAUUCUCCAUGUUUUGUGUGGGCAGAGUGGUACCAGUCACCUUAGCUACCUCACAGACAAAAGACUGAUGCAGACUGUCCCUGCAGUUUACAGCAAAGCUUUCAAUUGUAGCCCUUUGAACUUCAGAUUCUGCCGAUUGCGUAGUUCCAGAGCACGAGGCCAAUUUUCCAGCCGUGUGGAUUUGACAUCUCCAGCCAAACUAAAGCCAGGAUUAAUAUUAGACUCCUUAACAGCACGUUUGGGAUGGCAAAAGAUACAAAUAUGUGAGCAGAGAUGAAAGGGAAAACCUUAAACCAAGGGGACCAAUGGCAGGCAAAAGGUGGCCCUUAACAUGAGUGUCAACCUGAAGAUACCAGUCCAUGUAACCAAGCUGACCAAGGCUUCAGUGACAUGGAGUAAGAAUGAGAAACCAGUCCUCUCCCACUGCAACCUGACUGUUAAUGUA